rnacentral:rRNA from 1 species
UACGAAGGGGGCUAGCGUUGCUCGGAAUCACUGGGCGUAAAGCGCACGUAGGCGGCUUUUUAAGUCAGGGGUGAAAUCCUGGAGCUCAACUCCAGAACUGCCUUUGAUACUGAGAAGCUUGAGUCCGGGAGAGGUGAGUGGAACUGCGAGUGUAGAGGUGAAAUUCGUAGAUAUUCGGAAGAACACCAGUGGCGAAGGCGGCUCACUGGUCCAUUACUGACGCUGAGGUGCGAAAGCGUGGGGAGCAAACAGG